rnacentral:siRNA from 1 species
UUGGAGGUGAUGAAGAUGUU